ACGAAGGGUGCAAGCGUUGCUCGGAAUUAUUGGGCGUAAAGGGCAGGUAGGUGGUCCUAUUUGUCAGAGGUGAAAGCCCCGAGCUUAACUCGGGAAGUGCCUCUGAAACGGUAGGACUAGAGUAUUGGAGAGGGUCGUGGAAUUCCCGGUGUAGCGGUGAAAUGCGUAGAGAUCGGGAGGAACACCAGAGGCGAAGGCGGCGACCUGGACAAUAACUGACACUCAACUGCGAAAGCGUGGGGAGCAAACAGGAUUAGAUACCCUGGUAGUCCACGCUGUAAACGAUGGGCACUCGAUUUGGUGGGUCUUGACCCCUGCCGAGUCUGAGCUAACGCGAUAAGUGCCCCGCCUGGGAAGUACGGUCGCAAGACUA
rnacentral:rRNA from 1 species